rnacentral:rRNA from 2 species
UGGGGAAUCUUGCGCAAUGGGCGAAAGCCUGACGCAGCGACGCCGCGUGAGUGAUGAAGGCCUUCGGGUUGUAAAGCUCUGUGGGGAGAGAAGAAUAAGUGCAGGCUAAUACCCUGCAUGAUGACGGUAUCUCCUUAGCAAGCACCGGCUAACUCUGUGCCAGCAGCCGCGGUAAGACAGAGGGUGCAAACGUUGUUCGGAAUUACUGGGCGUAAAGCGAGUGUAGGCGGUUCGGUAAGUCGGAUGUGAAAGCCCCGGGCUCAACCCGGGAAGUGCACUCGAUACUGCCGAGCUAGAGUAUCGGAGAGGUUGGUGGAAUUCUCGGUGUAGAGGUGAAAUUCGUAGAUAUCGAGAGGAACACCGGUGGCGAAGGCGGCCAACUGGACGAAUACUGACGCUGAGACUCGAAAGCGUGGGGAGCAAACAGG